UCUUCCCCUCCCUCACACGCCUCUCCUCUCCCUCACUCUCCAUCCUCUCCAAAAACUUCUUCCACCUUUGUUCUUUCUUCAAUUAGAGUGGAUUUUUCAAGAAUUUCCGACGAAUCGUGUCAACGUUUGCUUCUACCGUUCGUUUUCUUGAUUCAAGAAGGGUGAUUGAGUAUACGUAUGCUCGAGGAACGAGAGUUGCAUAAGUUGGAAUUGUGUUGUUAAGCAAUCGAGGUUGAGCGGGAUGUUGCGGAGGAUGUUGAGUUGGCCUUAGGAAGCGUUGUGUCUUCGUACAUAGGCGUUAUCAUUGACUCUCUUUAAACCUUAUUUCCGCUGCUAUGCUAUAUUAAUAACUAUGUCUCAAGACUUUAAA